rnacentral:rRNA from 1 species
CCCUCGGGAUUGUAAUUUGAAGAUUUGGCAUUGGAGAAAGCUAACCCAAGUUACUUGGAAUAGUACGUCAUAGAGGGUGACAACCCCGUCUGGCUAACCGUUCUCCAUGUAUUGCCUUAUCAAAGAGUCGAGUUGUUUGGGAAUGCAGCUCAAAGUGGGUGGUAAACUCCAUCUAAAGCUAAAUACUGGUGAGAGACCGAUAGCGAACAAGUACUGUGAAGGAAAGGUGAAAAGAACUUUGAAAAGAGAGUGAAAUAGUAUGUGAAAUUGUUGAUAGGGAAGGAAAUGAGUGGAGAGUGGUUUAGGUUUCAGCCUUCUUUCGAGGGGGUGCACUACCAACGCCGAGUCAUUGAUAGCGAGACAGGGGUUAUAAACGGACGGCACUUGUGCUAUUCUCCUAACCCCUCUACUGCCACCAACGACAUAAUCCACCCAU